GGAGAGAUGGCCGAGGGGUUUAAGGCGGUGGUCUCGAAAACCAUUGUACCUUUUUAUGAGGUACCGGGGGUUCAAAUCCCCCUCUCUCCG
rnacentral:tRNA from 1 species